ensembl:lncRNA
UGACUGUUCUCCUCCUCGCUCGUCCUGGUCUGUGCAGGUGAUGGAGGUCGCGGCUCUGCUGUCUCUGAUGAUCCGCAGCAGCGCGGAGGACUGUCAGCUCUGCAUUUAUGAGAACAGUCACUGUGAGGAGGCCGUGCUGGAAUCCGACGUGCUUUUAGAGAAUGUCAAAACUUUAAUUCAACAAAUGACGAAAUGCUUUAUGCUCAGUUGUGAGGACUAUGACUUGACCUUCAAACGCAGGCUGUUCAACAAGAACAAGGUAGGUGUGAAUGAUUUGGAACACAGAUGUUGAGACAAACGAUCAGGCGCAGUGAGAGGGACGAACCCAGCUGGAAAAAACAGAAGCAGAGCGCUCCAUGUUGGGGACUAAAGAGGUGCUGGGCAACAGAUUCAGUUCUGGCAUUUUUAAUAAAGUCCAACUCUGGUCGUCAUGUCUCUUAAUGGUGAUUAUGCUGUUUUUAGCUAAAAUAAAAAACAAAAAAACUGUUGCUUAAUUUCUGCAGAGCAGGAAUUCAUUAGAAAUUCACCUCUGAGUUGUGGGCGGGAGAAACCCCGCCCCCCUUCCCCUCCCUGCUACUGAGAGCUCUCUGUUUAUGUGCCACUAGCUUACAGCCCCUCACAACCCCAACCUAAUAUUAGCAGUGCAACAGAAAUGGCGAGCAAUAGCAGAGCUUUUCUUUAAGUUCUCAACUUUGGAAGUGAAGCCAUGUAGACGGUGAAACAUCACAGACUAAAAAUCCCAUAAGUUUGUGUUUUUUUCUAUAAAUUAACUUAGCAGCUACUGUAUACUCCUGUAUAAAUAUGAUGAAAUAGAACUAAAUGAAUUGAUUUCACUUUAAAGUCCAGAUUUCUCUGUUUUUUUUACCCUAAAAAACCCAUUAGUUGCAGAACAUUUUUAAAGUUUGAUGUCUUAAGCUGAAAGUGCACAACGUUUUGAAGGAUUUGAGCAAUUUUUCAUUUAUUUCCUAUGGGACAUAUUCUGCAAUGUAUUUAAAAAACUAUAAAGUUUAUGAAUACCCCAAAUAAAAGCAGUAAUGUCCUGAAUGAACUGAACGUUUUGAUACCAAGAUUACUGAAUUACUGGUUGAAAGUUUGAGUUUUUACGUGCCGAAUAGCAUAUGGAAAGGAGCAGGAGAAGCACUAUAGAGUGAAUGCUUACUAAACAUUCAUACUAUUAAGAUGAAAUGAGAAUGUAACUAGAAAAGUUGCAUUACUUGCUAGUGUGAAUGCCUUUUGCUGAAUACGGUUGAUAUAAAUUGCUUGAAUUGUAUAAAGUACAUAAAUUUCUUAAAAAACGUAAAAAGUAUGAAUACCCCAAACUUUUGCAUGAAUGUCCUCAACGUGCUGAACAUUUUGGUACCAAUAUCACAUAAGUGUAAAAAGUGUGCAAAGGAUUUAAAAAAUGUCCAUUAAAUGUCAGUAGGGCUCGUAAAUUUGCAUAAAUUGUGUAUAAACAGUAAAAUGUAGGAAAACCAAAAGUACAAGCAUGAAUGUCCUGAACGUGCUGAAUGUUUUGACACCAAUGUUGCAUAAGUGCACAAAGUUUUUUAACGAUUUGAAAAAGGUUCCCAUUGAUUUAACAUAGGGCUAAAAAUGAGCAUAAAUUGCGUGAUAUCUCAAAAAACGUAAAUUUUACGAAAAACCAAAAAUACAAGCAUCGUUCUCCUGAACGUGCUGAACGUUUCGAUUGCAUAAAUUGCUUAAAGUGUGCUUGAGUUUUUAUAUGCAGAAAAACGUACGGUAGAAGUAGGAUCACUAUAGUGUGAAUGUUUUGAAGCAUUCACACAAUUAAAACGUGUGUUUAUGGUAAUCAAACUGUCAAGACACCAAUCAGUUAAGCUUCAUUUCUGUCCCAACUUAGAUUGCUUGUCUUGGUUUUGUACAGCAUUCAUUUGAAUUCAAUUGAGAUAAAAACAACAUUUCCUGCUGUCUUUUUAUAUGCAAGCAACAGAAAAGCUUGCAUAGUGUUCUAUUGACUGAGUUGUUGAUCUCUAUUACUCCUCAGCUGAACAACAUCAUCACCAUCGCUACACCCUGGAUGUCCUCCGAGCUGCUGUGGGAGGUUAACACCUACAAGAAGGAAGUUAACCCAGACGUUCUGGAGGUUCAAAUCUGCCUAACAGACAAGUAACUCUCAGUCUUAUCUCCAGAUUUUGCAAAUGUUCAAUCUACCCCUGUGAUCCCUUCCUUGACCUUUUUUCUUUAAAUUCUGUGUUCAGCAACUGUUUCGACUCAGACAAAUCACAGUCCAGGAACCUGGUGAGAAUCCAAGGAUUCAGUGAUCAACUCUUGAGGUAAAAAGUUAAUUUGUCAUUUAUUCAAAAGCUGAUGACUGUAAGCAUACAUGUACACUAUGCUACGGUCGGGAUUUGUUUUAAAACUGCAGAAAAGAAA